GCCAGUGUAGUGUAGUGGUUUGGGCACUGAACUUUGACUCUGGGGACCAGGGUUUGAAUCCCUGUUCAGCCA